rnacentral:rRNA from 1 species
UAUGUGAUCGUCUCUCGCAUAUCAAUAAGCGGAGGAAAAGAAACUAACAAGGAUUCCCCUAGUAACGGCGAGUGAAGCGGGAAGAGCUCAAAUUUGAAAUCUUAAAGGGUUUCCCUUUACGAAUUGUAGUUUAAAGAAGUGUUUUCUGUUGAGGUUUUGGUAAAAGUUCUUUGGAAUAGGACAUCAUAGAGGGUGAGAAUCCCGUAUUUGACCUUUACUUUCAACUUUGUGAUACACUUUCAAAGAGUCGGAUUGUUUGGGAAUGCAGUCCAAAAUGGGUGGUAAAUUUCAUCUAAAGCUAAAUAUUGGCGAGAGACCGAUAGCGAACAAGUACCGUGAGGGAAAGAUGAAAAGAACUUUGAAAAGAGAGUUAAACAGUACGUGAAAUUGUCAAAAGGGAAGCGUUUGACACCAGUGUUGUUUUUCUGAAAAUCAAUUAAAGAACUGUUUAUGCUAAGUUGUUUAGACUUUAUCAGCUAAUCUGCUUAGUUUUGAGCUUUUCUUUAAUGCACUUUUCAGUUAACAAGUCAACAUCAAUUUCUUUUGCUGUAAAAAAGCUUGAGGAAGGUGGCUUGAGAUUCGUCUUAAGUGUUUAUAGCCUCUUGCCUAUGCAGUCGGAGAGAUUGAGGUCUGCAGCGUAGAUCCUUCGGGGCUAAAUGCAUUUGUGCUAAGUUAUAGCAUUUUAUAGACAACUUGUUGACUAUGAUUUGUCUUGUAGCUUACUCGCUUAUGUUAUUUUACCUACGCUUAGGAUGUUGAUCUACAGAGCGAGAGU